UCUAAGCACAUGCCUUAAUACGGUGAAGCCGCGAAUAGCUCAUUACAACAGCCACCGUUUAUUAGAAUAUCGUUAUCCUACUUGGAUAACUGUGGCAAUUCUAGAGCUAAUACAUGCAAAAAAGCUCCGCCCGCGAGGAACGAGCGCAUUUAUUAGAAUAAAAACCAAUCGGGUCUCGGCCCGUAAUUUGGUGAAUCUGAAUAACUUUGCCAAUCGCACGGUCCUAGUACCGGCGAUGUAUCUUUCAAGUGUCUGCCUUAUCAACUUUCGAUGGUAGGUUAUACGCCUACCAUGGUAGUAACGGGUAACGGAGAAUAAGGGUUCGACUCCGGAGAGGGAGCCUGAGAAACGGCUACCACAUCCAAGGAAGGCAGCAGGCGCGCAAAUUACCCACUUCCAGAACGGAGAGGUAGUG
rnacentral:rRNA from 1 species